UCCCGCCGCCGCGGCGGUGGCUGUGGCUGCUGCAGGGAGUGGAAAUUUCCACUGUGUCCGCCCCCUCGCUCCCCCCUCCGCGCACACACACACACCCGAGACCGCACAUGCUGCGGGGGGAGGACAGCGCAGGGGGCCCUGCGCCUCGCUGCCAGCCGCGGGCGGACGCGGGCCUGCGGCCAUCGUCCCCCGGCACCUGGGUGGGCUGGCAGCGGCCGCGGGCUGCACGGCGAGGCAGAAGCUGCCCUGUGGUGGAGGGCGAGGUGAGGGAAAAGGCAUCUUAUUUGCUGCUCAGCCUGAUAUCCCAGAAGGUGCCUGCCCACCACAAACCCAAAUCCAAGUGGAUUUGGUGUGCAUCCAAGUGGAUGGUACAGUAAGGUUGAUGUGACUCAUCUGGCCCUCUCACUGAGGCCCUCUUACUACUGCUCCUUUGCAGGUAUUUUCCAGUCAGUGAGACUUGAAGAGAAACCAUUUGAGAGCACGUGGGAAGUGCUGGCUGAAGCAAUCCUAAAGCAACAAGGGAUCCUUUCCCACAGCACCUGGGGGACAGAAGAGCCAUGACAGGUAAUUGCAGUACUCGACUUUUAGAAAGAAGAAAAGCAUCUUGAAGAAUAUAGGUGGAGAAAACAGCCUGACUUGAAUUGCUGGAAAUACAUAGAAACAAGUAAUUAAAGUUUUCUUUUGUGUAUGGGAAAUAAUGAAAUGAUAAGUAGAGGCCAAAAAAGAUUUGCCAGGAACAAAUCGUGCCGAACCAAAGGCUAAUUUCCUUCUCUGACAAGUAGCAGGUCUUAUGGACAAUAGAUAUUAACAUAUCUUGAUUUGAACAAGGCUUUCAACACAGGCUGUUGUGA